UGAAUACGAGACGCUAAGGCGUCGAAGUAGUGUAUGUCAUACUUCCAAGAAAAGCUUGCACUGUCAUAGAUAAAAAACGCCUGUACCAUAACCGACACAGGUGGGUAGGUAGAGUAUACUAAGGGGCGCGAGAUAACUCUCUCAAGGAACUCGGCAAAAUAACUCCGUAACUUCGGGAGAAGGAGUGCCUUAUUCGUAAGGUUGCAAUAACAAGAUCCAAGCAACUGUUUAUCAAAAACACAGGUCUCCGCUAAGUCGUAAGACGAUGUAUGGGGGCUGACGCCUGCCCAGUGCCAGAAGGUUAAAGAAGUUGGUUAGCAAUUGCGAAGCUGAUAACUGAAGCCCUGGUGAACGGCGGCCGUAACUAUAACGGUCCUAAGGUAGCGAAAUUCCUUGUCGGGUAAGUUCCGACCCGCACGAAAGGCGUAAUGAUUUGGAUACUGUCUCGGAGAGGGGCUCGGUGAAAUAGACUUGUCUGUGAAGAUGCGGACUACCUGCACCAGGACAGAAAGACCCUAUGAAGCUCUACUGUAACUUGAAAUUGAAAUUGGACUUUAUUCGCGCAGUAUAGGUGGGAGGCGUUGAUUAUAAUCUUGUGGGAUUAUUGGAGCCAUCAGUGAGAUAUCACUCUUGUAAUGUUAGAUUUCUAACUUUGAAUCAUUAUCUGGUCAAAGAACAGUUUCAGGCGGGCAGUUUGACUGGGGCGGUCGCCUCCUAAACGGUAACGGAGGCGUACAAAGGUUUCCUCUGAACGGUUAGAAAUCGUAUCUAGAGUGUAAAGGCAUAAGGAAGUUUGACUGUGAGACCUACAAGUCGAGCAGGGACGAAAGUCGGUCUUAGUGAUCUGACGGUACUGAGUGGAAAGGCCGUCACUCAACGGAUAAAAGUUACUCUAAGGAUAACAGGCUGAUCUCCCCCAAGAGUUCACAUCGACGGGGAGGUUUGGCACCUCGAUGUCGGCUCAUCGCAUCCUGGGGCGGUAGUACGUCCCAAGGGUUGGGCUGUUCGCCCAUGAAAGCGGUACGCGAGCUGGGUUCAGAACGUCGUGAGACAGUUCGGUCCAUAUCCGGUGUAGGCGUUAGAAUAUUGAGAGGAGCCUUCUUUAGUACGAGAGGACCGAGAAGGACGUACCUCUGGUGUACCAGUUAUCGUGCCAACGGUAAACGCUGGGUAGCUAUGUAUGGAGUGGAUAACCGCUGAAAGCAUCUAAGUGGGAAGCCCACCUCAAGAUAAGUAUUCUCAU
rnacentral:rRNA from 1 species